GACGAGGAGGCGCAGCGAACGCAGAUAAAGAAUCCGAGGCGCAGAGAGGUGGCACUGCUGGAAGGAACAGAGCCAGAUCCACAAGAUCCUUCAUUCCGACAAUAAAUAUUCACUGAAGAUCUGCCACAUGUCAGGCCCCAGCCCAGAUCAGGAAAUUGAGGUCCAGUGAGGUGUCUUGGCCAGGACACUCAGUCAGGACGUGACAUGAACACAGGACUGUCUGACUUCAAAUCCAGUGCUCCUUCCCCUGCAGUCCCCACCCCACUGACUGGGGGACAGUGCUCCAGGCAGCUGGAAUGGGACACGGUUUGUGUGGCAGCGAGAUAUCCAGGCUCUCCUCCUUCCAGAUCUAAGGUUCUGCCGGAGGGGCAAAUGCGGGCAGCAAGGGCUUGCAGCCCUGGAAUUAACAAAUGAGAUUCAAACCCAGGUCUGCUUGACUAGGAAGGCCGGCCCUCUCCAUGGUGCCAGGACAACUCUUUGGAGAAGAUGCCCCUCUCUCUGCCUGCCUGAAUCUUCUCCGUCCACAAAGGCCUGCUCCAUCCUCCCUCCUCCAGGAAGCUUUCCCUGACUGUCCCCGGGCCCAGCCAGGGUGUCUGGGGGGCUGGAGAGACCCACAGAGCCCUGAUCACCGUGGCUGGCCCGUAAGUGUGGCGACUGAGUCCCAGUCUGGAGGCACAGCUGGACUUUCCCAGAGAGAACUGAGGCAUUGUGGGAAUUUCCCAGCUGUGACCCCAGGACCCUGAUUGCCCAGAAUGGCUCCAAGUUCACAUAUCUAGGGACCGUCACCAAGACUCCUGUAUCUAUAUUAAACUCGGUAAAUGUGAUGACCCUGGAAAUGUGCCCUCAGCAUCACAACCGCACUCUUGGCCCCUCCAGAAUUCAGAGCCACUUUGGGAGUCCACC
rnacentral:lncRNA from 1 species